rnacentral:tRNA from 1 species
GGGCCCGUGGCUCAAUGAUUAGAGCGUUUGACUUCUGCUCAAAAAGUCGGGGGUUCGAGUCUA